GAUGAACGCUGGCGGCGUGCCUAAUACAUGCGAGUCGAGCGAACGGACGAGAAGCUUGCUCCUCUGAUGUUAGCGGCGGACGGGUGAGUAACACGUGGAUAACCUACCUAUAAGACUGGGAUAACUUCGGGAAACCGUAGCUAAUACCGGAUAAUAUUUUGAACCGCAUGGUUCAAAAGUGAAAGACGGUCUUGCUGUCACUUAUAGAUGGAUCCGCGCUGCAUUAGCUAGUUGGUAAGGUAACGGCUUACCAAGGCAACGAUGCAUAGCCGACCUGAGAGGGUGAUCGGCCACACUGGAACUGAGACACGGUCCAGACUCCUACGGGAGGCAGCAGUAGGGAAUCUUCCGCAAUGGGCGAAAGCCUGACGGAGCAACGCCGCGUGAGUGAUGAAGGUCUUCGGAUCGUAAAACUCUGUUAUUAGGGAAGAACAUAUGUGUAAGUAACUGUGCACAUCUUGACGGUACCUAAUCAGAAAGCCACGGCUAACUACGUG
rnacentral:rRNA from 1 species